rfam:Triticum aestivum genome assembly, contig: Triticum_aestivum_CS42_TGACv1_scaffold_577822_7BL
AUAAUACUCCCUCCAUCCGGAAUUACUUGUCAUCAAACUGGAUGUGUCUAGAACUAAAAUACAUCUAGAUACAUCCAUUUGAAUGACAAGUAUUUUUGGACGGAGGGAGUAGUAG